rnacentral:rRNA from 1 species
AUAUCAAUAAGCGGAGGAAAAGAAACCAACAGGGAUUGCCUUAGUAACGGCGAGUGAAGCGGCAAAAGCUCAAAUUUGAAAUCUGGCUUCGGCCCGAGUUGUAAUUUGCAGAGGAACGUUCGGCGAUAUCUAGGUCUAAUUUUUCUGGAAGGAAAAGCCACUGAGGGUGAGAGCCCCGUAUGACUGAUGAUUGAACCAUGUGUACGUCCUUCGAAGAGUCGAGUUGUCUGGGAAUGCAGCUCAAAUUGGGUGGUAAAUUCCAUCUAAAGCUAAAUACUGGCACGAGACCGAUAGCGCACAAGUA